ensembl:snRNA U6 U6 spliceosomal RNA
GUGCUCACUUAGGCAGCACAUAUACUAAAAUUGGAAAGCUACAGGGAUCAGCAUCGCCUCUGUGAAAGCAUGACAUGUGAAUUUGUGAGGCAUUCCACAUUCUU